AGUGAACGCUGGCGGUAGGCCUAACACAUGCAAGUCGAACGGCAGCACAGUAAGAGCUUGCUCUUACGGGUGGCGAGUGGCGGACGGGUGAGGAAUACAUCGGAAUCUACUUUUUCGUGGGGGAUAACGUAGGGAAACUUACGCUAAUACCGCAUACGACCUACGGGUGAAAGCAGGGGAUCUUCGGACCUUGUGCGAUUGAAUGAGCCGAUGUCGGAUUAGCUAGUUGGCGGGGUAAAGGCGCACCAAGGCGACGAUCCGUAGCUGGUCUGAGAGGAUGAUCAGACACACUGGAACUGAGACACGGUACAGACUCCUACGGGAGGCGGCAGUGGGGAAUAUUGGACAAUGGGCGCAAGCCUGAUACAGCCAUACCGCGUGGGUGAAGAAGGCCUUCGGGUUGUAAAGCCCUUUUGUUGGGAAAGUAAAGCAGCAGGUUAAUACCCCGCUGUUCUGACGGUACCCAAAGAAUAAGCACCGGCUAACUUCGUG
rnacentral:rRNA from 1 species